GGAUUAGAUACCCUGGUAGUCCCAGCCGUAAACGAUGCAUACUUGAUGUCGACGGAAUCAACCCCGUCGGUGUCGUAGCUAACGCGAUAAGUAUGCCGCCUGGGGAGUACACUCGCAAGGGUGAAACUCAAAAGAAUUGACGGGGGCCCGCACAAGCAGUGGAGCAUGUGGUUUAAUUCGAUGCAACGCGAAGAACCUUACCUGGACUUGACAUGUAGUGGACAGGUGCAGAAAUGCACUUUUCUUCGGACCGCUAUACAGGUGCUGCAUGGCUGUCGUCAGCUCGUGCUG
rnacentral:rRNA from 1 species